UUACAGUCGCCAAAUUGCAUGGAAUUCGUAUGUGCGUUUGCAAGAUCAAGGGCAUUUUUUUAAUUCUACUAAUACAGAAUAAGCAAGCAAGCGAAGGAAAAAUCUGCAAUUUUUGUGGGGUACGGUAAAAGCUUUCGUGAAAUUGGACAAGUUGUCAACAGAGCAAAGUCAUCAGUGCGAUACGUCAUCCAGACUUUCAAAAAAACGGGAAUUAUUACUUCAAAGUCUCAAUCUGAACGUCCGAGAGUAUUGACUAAUCUGGAAACAAGCAAAGUUGUAUCUCUUGUGAAGGUUAAUCCGCUUUUAAUCGCGUCCUAGAUAGCAGAAUAUGUAAAACUACAGUAUCCAGCGACACAGCAAGAAAAAUAUUGAAAAGGGCUGGUUAUCAUGGGCGAGUGGCACGCAAAAAGCUAUUAAUUUCCUUAAAAAAUCGUAUGAAGCGCAUUUUUUCGCAAAUAUAACCAUGCUUAUACCUUUCUGGGAAUCGGGUUUAUGGUCGGAUGAGACGAAAUAUUGUAUAUUUGGAAUAAAAGGAAGAAAGAUAGUGUGGCAAAAAACUGGUACGGCUUUUGAAGAAUUUUGAAGAAUCUUACUUAAACCGUGAAGCAUGGUGGGGAUGAAGUUCUAGUGUGUGGGUGUAUGGCAGGAAGUGGAGUUGGUUGCAUUAAGUUUAUCGAAAAUAUAAUGAAUAAAUUUGAUUAUUUAAAUAUUUUAAGUCGACAAAUGAAGCAAAGUGCUGACAAAUUAGGAUUGCCAAACGUGUUUUGUUUCCCACAGGACAAUAACCCUAAACAUACAGCAGAACUCGCCCUUGGUUUCUUUACACUGCUCCAAAACAGCUACAUUCACCUCCACAAUUACCUGACCUCAUUCCAAUUAAGCAUUUAUGGGCUCUAAUGGAGCGCUGAAUUCGCACACAUACGAUUACCAGCACAGAAAUGCUCAAGACCGUUUUAUUGGAUGAAUGGAGUAAAAUGCCGGCUGAAAAUACGAGGAAAUUAGUACAUUCCAUGCCUAAACGUCUACCAGAAGUUCUAAAAUUUCGAGGCUACCCCACCAGCUAUUAAACUUUUCAUAAUUACUUGAUAUUAUUGUGUUCAGUUUGAUGAGCGGAGACUUUUUCCAUUUAAGUAAAUGAAUUCUGUGUCUUUUGUUUAUUAAAUUAUUUGAAUUUUUUUAAAC